UAACCUGCCCAAGAGAUCGGGAUAACACCUGGAAACAGAUGCUAAUACCGGAUAACAACAGAUGAUGCCUAUCAACUGUUUAAAAGAUGGUUCUGCUAUCACUAUUGGAUGGACCUGCGGUGCAUUAGCUAGUUGGUAGGGUAACGGCCUACCAAGGCGAUGAUGCAUAGCCGAGUUGAGAGACUGAUCGGCCACAUUGGGACUGAGACACGGCCCAAACUCCUACGGGAGGCAGCAGGG
rnacentral:rRNA from 1 species